GACGAACGCUGGCGGCGUGCCUAAUACAUGCAAGUUGAGCGCUGAAGGUUGGUACGUGUACCAACUGGAUGAGCAGCGAACGGGUGAGUAACGCGUGGGGAAUCUGCCUUUGAGCGGGGGACAACAUUUGGAAACGAAUGCUAAUACCGCAUAAAAACUUUAAACACAAGUUUUAAGUUUGAAAGAUGCAAUUGCAUCACUCAAAGAUGAUCCCGCGUUGUAUUAGCUAGUUGGUGAGGUAAAGGCUCACCAAGGCGAUGAUACAUAGCCGACCUGAGAGGGUGAUCGGCCACAUUGGGACUGAGACACGGCCCAAACUCCUACGGGAGGCAGCAGUAGGGAAUCUUCGGCAAUGGACGAAAGUCUGACCGAGCAACGCCGCGUGAGUGAAGAAGGUUUUCGGAUCGUAAAACUCUGUUGGUAGAGAAGAACGUUGGUGAGAGUGGAAAGCUCAUCAAGUGACGGUAACUACCCAGAAAGGGACGGCUAACUACGUG
rnacentral:rRNA from 1 species